UACUCCGUCGUGGGGGAUAACGUAGGGAAACUUACGCUAAUACCGCAUACGACCUAAGGGUGAAAGUGGGGGACCGCAAGGCCUCACGCGAUGGAAUGAGCCGAUGUCCGAUUAGCUAGUUGGCGGGGUAAAGGCCCACCAAGGCGACGAUCGGUAGCUGGUCUGAGAGGAUGAUCAGCCACACUGGGACUGAGACACGGCCCAGACUCCUACGGGAGGCAGCAGUGGGGAAUAUUGGACAAUGGGCGAAAGCCUGAUCCAGCCAUGCCGCGUGGGUGAAGAAGGCCUUCGGGUUGUAAAGCCCUUUUGUUGGGGAAGAAAUCCUGGUGGCCAAUACCCGGCGGGGAUGAC
rnacentral:rRNA from 1 species